ACCGGCUCAAGGGCGACUGUUCCGGCGCGUUAAUAAGUGAACGAGGGUUUUCAAGAGUCACUCUUUGUGUUCUUUUCUCGGGCGGCGGCGACUCGCGUUGUCGACCCUCAGAUGGAGUCGUGGGCCUUUAACGGGCUUCCUGAGAGGAGAGGCCUUUUAACAGAGCGGGGACAUCAGCCCACACUGACGCGUGCACUUAAAUACACACACAGACACACACACACACACACACACACACACACACACACACACACACACACAGACACACCGAGUCCAUCAGCAGCGCUGGUAAAACUGACGGGAAACACAGAGGCUCGUUGUCUGGAGACAGGAUGAGGUCGAAGGGCUGAAUGGGCGAAGGCCGAGGAGGACGAAGAGGAAGAAAGAGUUUGUCCGCGCCUCUCCGACUGUAAAUAACGACGACAGGCGACGCGUCUCCACGUCCUCCCGUUGUACGGAAGGACAAAGCCCAAGACGUCCCUGACACGGGCGCCGCCCUCGUGUGCUGAUGGGAGUCUGCGCCGAUACGCGUGUGCUCGGCCAAUGGCGAGUCCGUCUCAGCCGUCAUUCAACGUGUCUCAGUCUGUUUUUAUGGCAUAAAAUAACCAAUCAAAACCAAACUGAUCAGAAACAGGAACACUUGAACGAACGUCGGCGUGAUAACAACUAGCUAAAAUGGCAGAAAUCAUCUUUAUUUGACGAUUUUUUAUAUUUUUUUGGUCCACGUCCCAUCUGCUAACAUGGAGGGGGCCGGGGUUUAUGACACCCAUACUGCAGCCAGCCACCGGGGGGCGAUCCAGAUGUUUUGGCUUCACUUUCACGUCGUCCAUCUUUAUACACAGUCGAUGUCUCGGCCUGUAUUUAUCCCGCCACAUGUUGACGUAAAGCAUCUCACAGUUUGAAAUGAGAGCUGCGUAAUGUCAACAUGUAGGUUUUGUUUUGUUUUUUACCAGAAUUAAAUAUUGAAACCACAUAUUCAAAUCUACACGACAGGAUGAACAAGAACACAAUGAGAGGACGGAGGAGAAAAGGGAUGAAUAAAUGUUGUAUAUGUGUAUAUGUAUGUAGUGUCGCCAUGGCAGCCAUGUUGGGGCCGCACCACACACACGAGGAGGAGGAGGAGGAGGAAGAGGCCUUUUCACUGUGUUUCCUACGUCUAUUGUUCGCCGGACGGCGGUGGAUGAAGAGGGGAGGUCCAGUUAUGACUCGAGGAGACGCAGAGACUGAACCGGUCCGUCCGCAUACCGACCGCAUUCCUGCUGCGGCGCUGCGUUUCAGAGCACAACCUGUUCGUGUCACGUCGAGCAACGCGUGGCCUGCAAAUGUGUGUUUAGCGUUUCUUUUUGACAAGAACUAGUUGAUUCCAAUGGAUAGAUAGUUUCAGGAAGAGUCAGUCGGUCCUGGUGUGAGGCCUCUGGGAUGUUUUUGACACUAUGAACCUAAAAAAACUUGAUUUACAUCUUCAAAUUCUGCUCUGCUAUUAUGAAAACGCACGACUUUGUGUCACUUUUACAAACUGGUUGAACUAUAAACAAGAUCAGAGCUGCAA